rnacentral:rRNA from 1 species
CACGUAGGCGGCUUUCUAAGUCGGGGUGAAAUCCUGGAGCUCAACUCCAGAACUGCCUUCGAUACUGGAAAGCUCGAGUCCGGGAGAGGUGAGUGGAACUGCGAGUGUAGAGGUGAAAUUCGUAGAUAUUCGCAAGAACACCAGUGGCGAAGGCGGCUCACUGGCCCGGUACUGACGCUGAGGUGCGAAAGCGUGGGGAGCAAACA